rnacentral:snRNA from 1 species
GGAUGUGGGGUCGCUCUGGCGGCAACAUCUGUCACCCCAUUGAUGGCCAGGGUUGAUUCCGCUGCUCUGGCUGGCUAGGCAGCUGUCGCCUCCCUCUUGCUGAAGCAGAAGCUCCAAGAGGGUGACCGUUCCUCGGUCAAGGGUAUAUGAGUGGCUGCCCUCCCCCACUCGCACCUCCAAACAAGCUCUCAGGGACAGCUGCAACAGGACGUAAGGGAAUAGCAGUUACACAGGGACU